rnacentral:rRNA from 1 species
UACGUAGGGUGCAGGCGUUAUCCGGAUUCACUGGGUUUAAAGGGUGCGUAGGUGGGUCUGUAAGUCCGUGGUGAAAUCUCCGAGCUUAACUUGGAAACUGCCAUGGAUACUAUAGAUCUUGAAUACUGUGGAGGUUAGCGGAAUAUGUCAUGUAGCGGUGAAAUGCUUAGAUAUGACAUAGAACACCAAUUGCGAAGGCAGCUGGCUACACAAAUAUUGACACUGAUGCACGAAAGCGUGGGGAUCAAACAGG